AUCCAUCUGACGAGUCCGGAAUAGGACGAAAGGCUGGUUCUGGAU
rnacentral:hammerhead_ribozyme from 1 species